rnacentral:rRNA from 1 species
GAGACUCUGUGCGCGUGCAUAUCAAUAAGCGGAGGAAAAGAAACUAACAAGGAUUCCCUUAGUAACGGCGAGUGAAGCGGGAAGAGCUCAAAUUUGAAAUCUUCAAGGGUUCUACCUUUACGAAUUGUAGUUUAUAAGAAGUGUUUUCUGUUAGUAGAGUGGCUAAAAGUUCUUUGGAAUAGGACAUCAUAGAGGGUGAGAAUCCCGUAUUUGACGUCACUUUCUAGCUACGUUGUGAUACACUUUCAAAGAGUCGGAUUGUUUGGGAAUGCAGUCCAAAAUGGGUGGUAAAUUUCAUCUAAAGCUAAAUAUUGGCGAGAGACCGAUAGCGAACAAGUACCGUGAGGGAAAGAUGAAAAGAACUUUGAAAAGAGAGUUAAACAGUACGUGAAAUUGUCAAAAGGGAAGCGUUUGACACCAGUGUUGUUUUUCCGAAAAUCAAUUACGAAUGUUUUGUUUUUAAGAAGUUAUGACUUCAUCGGCUUGCUUCUUUCUUUACGAAACUUUCUUAAUGCACUUUUCGGUUAACAAGUCAACAUCAAUUUCUUUUGUUGUAAAAGGGUAUGAGGAAGGUGGCUUUCUUUUCGGAGAAAGUGUUUAUAGCCUUGUACCUCUGCAAUCGGAGAGAUUGAGGUCUGCAGCGUAGAUCCUUCGGGGUUAGAUACAUUUGUGCUAAGUUAUAGCUUUUCAUAGACAACUUGUUGACUAUGUUUAGUCUUGUAGCUUACUCGCUUAUGCUAUUUUACCUACGCUUAGGAUGUUGAUCUGUAGUGCGUGCGC